CUCGUAUGUGCGGAGUGAGCGUGGGAAGUUGGCGUCUGAGUGAGUGUGGACACGCUGGAGUGUGUGUUUUAAGGAGAAAUGCAACAGGUUCCAGGGCCUCUUACCUGCGUGAUUCAUCAUCCAGGUUUUGCACAAAUUGUCUAAAUCCCUACACACAGAACAUUUAUUGUACCGACUAUAAGCCUUUGAGGUGCAGGACUAGAAUAUGCUUGGAGCUUCCUGAUCAGAAUGCUGGCUUCCGACAACCCCUGCACUGAAGAUGGCAUGCAAUCACGUCCUCCCUUGAAGGUCUUUCAAACUGUGAUGCCAGGUCCAUUGGAAUCGGGGUUUCCUUCAGCUUAUCUUCAUAUACCUCAUCAAACACAAGCCUGAUCACAUCAUCCACAUAACUGUAGAAAUAUUGCAGUCAAUAAAUCUUUUGUUUUGAUCAUUUAUUUCCCUGCUUCAUACAUUAAGUUUUUAAUUAUGAAUGUAUUUGAA